UCCGAGUUGUCCCCGGCAGUCCCCUUAGAGUCCCCGGCAUUACCCGCUGGCAACUAAGAGUAGGGGUUGCGCUCGUUGCGGCACUUAAGCCAACACCUCACGGCACGAGCUGACGACAGCCAUGCAGCACCUGUGCUAGCCCCUUGCGGACACGGGCUUUCACCCGCUUUAACUAGCAUGUCAAGCCUAGGUAAGGUUCUUCGCGUUGCAUCGAAUUAAGCCACAUGCUCCGCCGCUUGUGCGGGCCCCCGUCAAUUCCUUUGGGUUUUAGUCUUGCGACCGUACUCCCCAGGCGGAGUGCUUAAUGCGUUAGCUUCGGCACGGCAUCCGUUGAUCGGGACGCCACACCUAGUACCCAACGUUUACGGCGUGGACUAC
rnacentral:misc_RNA from 1 species